rnacentral:rRNA from 1 species
GAUUGAACGCUGGCGGCGUGCUUAACACAUGCAAGUCGUGCGGUAACAGGCGUAGCAAUACGUGCUGACGAGCGGCGAACGGGUGCGUAAUACAUGGGAAUCUGCCCUUUAGUGGGGAAUAACCCGGCGAAAGCCGGGCUAAUGCCGCAUAAGAUCUCCGGAUGAAAGCGGGGGACCGUAAGGCCUCGCGCUGAUGGAUGAGCCCAUGUCGGAUUAGCUAGUUGGNGAGGUAACGGCUCACCAAGGCGACGAUCCGUAGCUGGUCUGAGAGGACGGCCAGCCACACUGGGACCUGAGACACGGCCCAGACUCCUACGGGAGGCAGCAGUGGGGAAUAUUGGACAAUGGGGGAAACCCUGAUCCAGCGACGCCGCGUGUGUGAAGAAGGCCUGCGGGUUGUAAAGCAC